CUACAAAUAGCAGCAGAGCAUUGUCUGAUAUAGUGCCAAAAGAAUCAUCCUUCACUUUUCAAUAUUUUGAUCAACUUGUCUGUCUCUGCUCCAAUUUCUUCAUAAUUGUUCUCCAUCAGAGGGUCCUGAAGAGAAGCUCUAAUUCUCUGCUCUUUAUGGAGCAUCUUAACAAAAAAGAGGUCAUGCGAGCACACAGAUAGAAGGAAGCUGUCUGAAAGCCAAGGGGAGAGCUUUCACCAGACACCAACCCUGCUUGGCACCUGGAUCUUGGACUUCCAGUCUCAAGCACUGUGAGAAAAUAACUUUCUGUUGUUUAAGCCACUCAGUCUCUGGUGUUUUGUUAUGGCAGCCCUAGCAGACUAAUACACUCCUCAAAAUGAAGAAAGCUGUUUUACUCUUCUUUGAAUCUCAAAGAGGAUUAGAGCAUAAAAUAACUGCUAGGUGAAUUGAUUUGAAAGUUGAGUUACUCCCUCCCCUCCUCUUUUUGUGUUCCCAAUCAUAUUAUAUUUCAACUAUUGUCAAUUUGUCAAUAUUAUCGCAUCUUUUCAUAAUAGUUUCCUUCCAUGUUUUUCUCCCUUACUAGACUGUGAAAAAGGGAAGGAGCUGUGCCUUAUUUAGUCUUGUAUUGUCCCAGUAGUAAGAGAAACUUAGGAAUGACAAAUACUGCCAGUUACUUACCCAAAAUCCAUUUUCCCAUUAUUUUUCUGCUAAAAUAACCACUUUCUUAGACUGCCUUUCAGAUAGAGAACCUAUGUGAAUAUGACUCAAUUCUGGACAAUGGAUACAGGGAAAGAUUUUUUUCCUCUUUUAUUGCUGCCUAUUACUUUUUUCCCCUAUUUCUUACACUUCCAGCCUGUAAUUUGCAUGUGAGGCUGGAGUAGUAUAUAUCUUGCUAUCAUGAGCUGAUAGGCAUGAAGACAAAAGCCACAUGUUAUGAAUAAUGGAAUUGAAAGAUAGUAGGAAGCUGGGAAGUUGAUGAAAUACUGGAGUCACUGCAUCAGUCCUAGCCUGCUUUCCUCUGGACUUCUUGUUUUGGUGUGGGGGACAAAACCUUAUUUUAUCAAGCACAAUAUUGAGGUCUCUUUUACUUGCAGAUGAAUACAAUUUUUAAUUGAUACAGUAGAGGAUCAAUAAUGUUUGUUGAAUUGAACUGAGAGGAUAUGGACAGUAUUGCCAAAGCUGAUGGGGAAAAUAUUCCAGUUAGAUAUGUUCACCAAAUGCAGAAUUUGGGGCUAGAGCUGGGUCAUGCUAUAGAGUUAAGGAUAAAAAACAAUCUAGAUGAUCUAUGGAACACCUAAGAAUGGCAACAUUCUUUGUUUCAGGGGCCUCAUAAUACAUUAAUGAGUCAAUAAUAACUGCAAACUGGUAAAAAAUAAAAAUUCAGUCGGGGGAAAAACAGCAAUAUUGAGGGUUUUUUGAACAUCCCACAGAAUUUUGAAGUGUCAUUAAACAGACAAUGUUUAUGGAAAUAGAAAGCAUUAAAAGAUUUACACGGGAUUAAUAUAUCAGGUUAGGUUAAGGAGAGAUUAAGGUAAAAUAAUAGAAAUAAGAAAUAUGUGGGGCAGACCAAAAAAAAAAAAUCAUCCCCAGAUAUUAGUAUUGACCACACGAGAGAGAACUGCACCAGAGACAGAGAGCAAUCAUGGAGAGCGCUUGAACAUAUAAUAAUAAUGGGAGGUACUCUAAUCUUAGUACUUAAUGUAAGACAAGCACUAUACUAUGUAUUUAACAUAGUAUCUUAUUCAAUUCUUACAGAAAUUCUCUGAAUAGUAAAUUUCUACCCAUUUUUUCAGAUAGGGAAACUGAGUCUUAGAGAAGUGAAUAAAAUAACUUGCUAAAGAAAUUGUAGACCAGGAUUCAAAUCUCUGUCGCCUGCUAUAUCAUCUCCCUGAGUAUGUCACAGCUCUCUGAUGCCCAAAACAAGGUAUUUAGUCUUAGAUGCUGAUACUAUCACUGCUACAAUUGGUUAAGAGGCAGAAUUGUUUAGCUGCAUAAGCUGUAGACUCAAUUUAAGUCAUGGCAUCAUAGCUUACUAGUUCUGUGACCUAGGACAAGUUAUUCUUCUUAUCUCAGAUCUCUCUUAGCUAAAAUAAUGAUUAAUAAUGCCCAUGCUGCCUGCCCUAUAUAAUUGUGAAUGUAUUUGUAAAAGUUAAACAAUUUUUUAAAAAGGUAAAGGAUUAUUAUUAUCAAGAGAAGACAAAAACAGAGUGAUAAUUUGUAGUUCUCUGCAGCAUUUGCACAAUACAGUCCCUCUGGACAGAAAGUAUUUGCUCUCCUGAAUAUUGAAAAAUUAAUCUGAUUGAGUUUUAAUGCUAUGGUAAGAUCAUAAGCACAAGUAGAAAUACAAAGUAUAAGUCUCCCUCAAUCCCAAAAAGAGACUUAUGUUGGCAACAAGAGAGUACAGCAAGUAUUCACUGUGACAUUUCUGCAGUACCUAUAGAGCAAAGUAUGUCACAUCCAUUCAUCUCUUCAUUCCUACAUUCAUCCAUUUAUUCAAAACAUAUAUGUGCAUACGUAUGUAUAUAUACACGUACUCGUCAUUUACAGAUAGAGAGAGACAGAGACAGAGGUAGACAGGUUGCAUUAUAUACAAGGUAGUAUAUUAGUUGACAGAUAUAUAAGGGUAAACAAAAUAGUCCCUGCCUUCCUGGAGCUUAUAGAUUAGUUACCAAAAGCAUAUUGAUGGUACAGGAUCUUGUGUUUAUACAAUUCUUUUAAAAUCUUCUAUUCAUUUUUCCUUCAUUACUUCAUUCAAUAUACAUUUAUUGAAUGUGCAUACUCUUCUCACCUCAAUAAACAGAACCUCAGUUUUUCCAAUUGGGCAAAACAAGAAUCAUUAAAUUAUUAUAAUUCUUCUCUUUCUCUUAAAUUCAAUCUAUCAGCAAAUCCUAUCAGCUCUUCCUUCUAAAUAUAGCCCAAUAUGACUGCUUCUCAUCACCUCUACUCCAUUUUGUUCAAAGAAGCCAUUAUCUCUCAAGUAAUUUCAAUAGCUACUUGAUUGGUCUUUCUGCUCCUGCCCAUACUCCACCCCUAUCCUACCCUCUGGGCCCUUGCCGUGAAAACAAGAGCAAAGAAUCAGACACCAGGCCUUCUGAAACAGUUUUUACUGAGAGAAUUUUAUAGUAAAAGGAGCUGUAGCAUGUGUGUCAGUUACCCUUUGCCCAUUGAAUUAUGAGGUAAUGAACAAGGAUCUAACAGGACUGGACAUCCAACUUCAGUCAUUGGGUUGCAGGGUUUUUAAACUUCCUAAUUAGGGAAGCAUCAAAUCUCUACCCUAGUAUGAUCACAGAGAGAUCCAACUAUAGUAACUAUGUCAUGGUAGAAACUUGGCUUCAAUCCUCUUCCACCAUGUGGCAUUCUUCAGUUAGGAGACAGCAGCCUUUCUCCAGGGAUUAGGGUAUAAGGCUUGUAGCUGCCAUUAUAUGAUGUGGCAGAGUAGUGACCUAUUUUGUCACUUCAGCAUCCUACCAGGGUUGAUUGCCUUAAGCAUUUGGUUUCCAUGGAGCUUUAAAAGAAGCCAACACCUUUCUCAGAGGCCAGGUUGAAGGGAAUCAAUAUUGAACAUGAUAAUCCUACCAGUUAUCUAUCUAUAUAACCAAUUCUUUACAUAACAGUGAAAGUGACCCAUUUAAAUCAAAAGUCAGAUCAUGCCCUUCCUCUGUUCCAAGACCUCCAGUGGUUUCCCACAUCACUUGAAGUAAAAUCCAAAGCCCUUACUUUAGCCUAGGAAGCUCUACAAGAUCUGCCUACCCUUCCGCUACCUCUCUAACUUCAUUCUUGCCAUUCUGUGUGUCGCUUACUCCCUCUCCAGCCACACUGUGCCUCUAACACCCUCAUUGAGUUUUGCAUUUGCUACUCCUUCUGCCUGGAACAUUUUCUCCCCAAAUACCCACAAGGUAGUAAAAGUGUCUCCAGUGAGAAAUCACAAAGAUAUGGAAACCAAAUUAAACUACCUGUCUUUUAUAGAAACCCCCAAUCUAGUAACUUAACAUAAAAAAUAAAAUCCUGGCCCAUUGAUACCCCUGGGGCACUUAGAAGAAGCAAAACCAAAACCAUUUUGGAUAAAAAUUCUUAUAAGCUAGGCCACAUGGGAUUCCCAUAGGAGGGAAAAAGAGUUCCACUAAAGAUAUUACUGUCAGGAAAUGACUAUUUUCAUGUUUCUACAUGAUUAGGGCUUUCUGAGCAAAUUUUACUAGAUGCUGAGUUAGAUGGCAGGCCUUAGAAGUUAAAUGAUGACAGAAUAGAUAGCAAGAGAAACCCUGACAGACUUACCUUCCUGGGAGUAUGUGUUUAUAUUUCAAAGGGGGAUGAAACACAAGAGACAUUCCAGGUACUGUAAACCCAGAGGCAAUAAGUAGUCAUAUCUUCUCCCUGGAGACAUGUAUUUACAUUCCAAAGGGUAAGAACCCAUAACCUUCCCUUUCUCUUUCCUUUCUUCUUGUUUACAUUAGAGAGAUUGGGUUUCUGUCCCUCUCUCUUGAGGGGAGUGUGACAGUUGUUUAAACUAUCCUAUAUAAACUGCCAGAUUCAUAAUCUCAGGAUUCCUCUCCUGCAGCACAGACUUCAAUACAUGAAGAGCGACUUUGGCUCUCAUCACAUCACCCUAAAAGGAGGAAAGAAUUGGGGCAAGGAGUACUAAUGCAGUUAUGGAUGUAAGAAAUAAUAGCUAUGAUCUCUGCUCCAGAAACUUCAUGUUUACAUUCAGGACGAUACAAAAUAAACAUAGAUUUUUUUUUUAAAGUAUCAUUUAAAAUUAAAUUCACAAAACACAUGGGAAAAUAAUCACCAUGAAAGACAGGAGACACAUCAAACAGGAGGAUGAGCACCCUAGAAACUUGAGAAAAGAGAACAAUCUGAAAUAGACUAAAAUAACAAGAUUUAAGUUGACUAAAAAGAUAAAAGUUAUAAGCCAUAAGGAAGAAAUAAGACAGCAAGAAGAAAAACAUAGGCAAAUUUGAAAAAGAAUUAUAGAGAAAUUCUAAAUACAAAAAAUAUAGCCAAUGAAAUUAAUUCAAUGGACUCAAUGGCUUUAGUUAGAAAACAAAUUAGACAGCAUUGACAGAAGCACUAAUGAAGAGAAAAAAUCAGAUAUAAGAUUCUUAUCCAAAAUGCAAUACAGAGAGAUAAAGACAUGGAAAGAAAAAAAGAAAGGUUAAGAGAUAUGAAGAUUCGAAUGAUCAAAUCCAACAUAUGUCUAAGAGAAGUCCCAGAAAACAAAUAGCAACAACGUGGGAGAGGCAAUACUCAAUGAGAUAAAGACAGAAUUUUUUCAAGAAUUGAUGAAAAGACAUGAUUUUUUUCAUGUUGAUUAAGCACAUAAAAUUAAAAAGAAACAAAUAAAUCCUAGACGUCAAUAACAAAGAAAUAUAAAAACAACCUUCAAUUUAAAAAAAAAUUACCUACAAUGAACCACAAUAUGACUUCUUAAGAGCAACAACAGACACUAGAUAAUAAUGGAAUAAAAUCCACAAAAUUAGAGAAAUUAUUUAUCAAGCUGAAUUUUAUGCCCAUUUAAGUAAUGAUUUAAGGGUGCAGAAAGAAAUAAAAAACAGUUUCAAACAGUUUUAAACAGCAAAGGCAAUGUUUACAAUUAGCGUAUACUUGUUGAAAGAACUAUUAAAGAAAAUAUUUAAUGAAGAAAUAAAUUGAACACAAAAGAAGAGAGGCCAGGAUGAAGAAAUAAAUUAGUAAACGUGAGUAAAUUUGAAAAAACAUUGACUGCAAAGCAAAUUAUUAAAAUAAUGACCACUUUUUAAGGGUUUAAAAAUUAAGGUGAAAAUAAUAUAUUAGACAGUUUAUGAAUGAAAAACAUAAAGUGUUCCAUAGUUCAGAAAAAGGGUAGAGAUACUGGUUGAAUUUGGAGUUUACUGAGUCAAACAUGCAUGUUAAAAAUAUAAAGAUGACUCAAUAGAAAUGGAAAUUACAGCUUUUACUAUUUUUUUUU